rnacentral:rRNA from 1 species
UACGGAGGGGGCUAGCGUUGUUCGGAAUUACUGGGCGUAAAGCGCACGUAGGCGGCUUUGUAAGUUAGAGGUGAAAGCCCGGGGCUCAACUCCGGAAUUGCCUUUAAGACUGCAUCGCUAGAAUUGUGGAGAGGUAAGUGGAAUUCCGAGUGUAGAGGUGAAAUUCGUAGAUAUUCAGAAGAACACCAGUGGCGAAGGCGACUAACUGGACAUGUAUUGACGCUGAGGUGCGAAAGCGUGGGGAGCAAACAGG